UGCAGAUGUGACGGCGCCUGACCUUACACGCCGCGGCGCAGCGUCUCAGAUGACAACGUUCCUUCCGGCGCCACCUGCAAUCAGUGUCUCUCCCAAACACCUCAGAAAGUGUCGUAAUUUCAAAGUGCUGCGAAAUCAUGUCUGUUGAGUUGUGGUCCAUGAGACACGACGCGAAUGAACUACACGACUCCCUUGACCGAGAGAGAUCAGAGUAACGAUGUGACGGCAAGGUCCUCUCUACAGCGUCCGUCCUGCAAUUCGUCACACCCGUGACACACUGCAACACGUUAUUCACUGACCAGAACUGGCAUUCGUGUGUGUGUGUGUGUGUGUGUGUGUGUGUGUGUGUGUGUGUGUGUAUCAGAGUGUG